UACGAAGGGGGCGAGCGUUGUUCGGAAUCACUGGGCGUAAAGGGCGCGUAGGCGGCCCUUCUUGUCGCGUGUGAAAGCCCCGGGCUCAACCUGGGAAUGGCGCGCGAGACGGGGGGGCUGGAGUUCGGGAGAGGAGCGUGGAAUUCCCAGUGUAGAGGUGAAAUUCGUAGAUAUUGGGAAGAACACCGGUGGCGAAGGCGGCGCUCUGGACCGAGACUGACACUGAGACACGAAAGCGUGGGUAGCAAACAGG
rnacentral:rRNA from 1 species